rnacentral:rRNA from 1 species
AUUGAACGCUGGCGGCAUGCCUUACACAUGCAAGUCGAACGGCAGCACGGGAGUAAUCCUGGUGGCGAGUGGCGAACGGGUGAGUAAUAUAUCGGAACGUGCCCAGUCGUGGGGGAUAACGCAGCGAAAGCUGUGCUAAUACCGCAUACGAUCUAAGGAUGAAAGCGGGGGAUCGCAAGACCUCGCGCGAUUGGAGCGGCCGAUAUAUGAUUAGCUAGUUGGUGGGGUAAAGGCCCACCAAGGCGACGAUCUGUAGCGGGGCUGAGAGGACGACCAGCCACACUGGAACUGAGACACGGUCCAGACUCCUACGGGAGGCAGCAGUGGGGAAUUUUGGACAAUGGGCGCAAGCUGGAUCCAGCAAUGCCGCGUGCAGGAUGAAGGCCUUCGGGUUGUAAACUGCUUUUGUACGGAACGAAACGGCCCUUUCUAAUACAGGGGGCUAAUGACGGUACCGUAAGAAUAAGCACCGGCUAACUACGUGCCAGCCGCCGCCGUAA